rnacentral:tRNA from 1 species
GAAGGUAUAGCUCAGUGGUAGAGCACGUGCUCAGCAUGCACAAGGUCCUGGGUUCAAUCCUCAGUACCUCUA